UUUCUGAGGAAUCCUGUGGAGUUUAUGUGCUAUUUGGACAAGACUUAAAGACCUCCAUUCAAAUUCCCAAUCAACUUCAACUGGCUCCUUUCAAUAUUAGUAACAGCGGCUCUCCUGCAUCUUCAUGACGCUUGAUGAUAUCAAAGACCACAGAGAUAAGAAGAGACUGAUGAUCUACAGUGUUCCGCUCAGAUUAGAGGGUAUAGAGAGGGUAAGUGCACACAUUGCAUCAUCUGAAGGGUCUUCAGCCGCUACUGAAGUAGUAGUCGUAGUGCUACUUCCUCACUUUCCUCACUUCCUCAUCCACGCGUUAUGUUUAAUAUUUAGUAAUCUCAUGGGUUGGUUGGUGUGUGUGUGUGGGGGGGCUUCCUUGUUAUGUUUUAAUGCUGUGACACACACUUUUAAUUGUCUUGCCUUGUAUGAAAGGUAUCAUAUAAAUAAAUAAAUAAAGUCUGA